AGAGUUUGAUCCUGGCUCAGAUUGAACGCUGGCGGUAUGCUUUACACAUGCAAGUCGAACGGCAGCACGGGGCAACCUGGUGGCGAGUGGCGAACGGGUGAGUAACAUAUCGGAACAUGUCCGGAAGUGGGGGAUAACGUAGCGAAAGUUACGCUAAUACCGCAUAUGCCCUGAGGGGGAAAGGGGGGGAUCGCAAGACCUCUCGCUUUCGGAGUGGCCGAUAUCGGAUUAGCUAGUAGGUGAGGUAAAGGCUCACCUAGGCGACGAUCCGUAGCUGGUCUGAGAGGACGACCAGCCACACUGGAACUGAGACACGGUCCAGACUCCCACGGGAGGCAGCAGUGGGGAAUUUUGGACAAUGGGGGCAACCCUGAUCCAGCCAUACCGCGUGAGUGAAGAAGGCCUUCGGGUUGUAAAGCUCUUUCGGCAGGAAAAAAAUCGUGCAGGCUAAUAUCCUGUAUGGAUGACGGUACCUGAAGAAGAAGCACCGGCUAACUACGUGCCAGCAGCCGCGGUAAUACGUAGGGUGCGAGCGUUAAUCGGAAUUACUGGGCGUAAAGCGUGCGCAGGCGGCUUUGCAAGACAGACGUGAAAUCCCCGGGCUUAACCUGGGAACUGCGUUUGUGACUACAGGGCUAGAGUGUAGCAGAGGGGGGUAGAAUUCCACGUGUAGCAGUGAAAUGCGUAGAGAUGUGGAGGAAUACCGAUGGCGAAGGCAGCCCCCUGGGCUAACACUGACGCUCAUGCACGAAAGCGUGGGGAGCAAACAGGAUUAGAUACCCUGGUAGUCCACGCCCUAA
rnacentral:rRNA from 1 species